UAUAUAUAUAGAAUUAGACUGGAAUACUAUUAAUAGUAAAACGUUUUUUUUGCUAUCAAGUUUUUAACCCUUGGAUGAAAAAUUGUAGGGUCAGGAUGAUAUUAGUCAGUUAGAGUUGAGUGGUCCCCCCAGGGUUGAGUGGGUGGUUGGUUGAAUAGUAUAAUCUAAUGGUUGAAAAUGAUCCGAGGAGUAGAUCUAACGGUAAAAAACUUACAAGCACCAAAUGCUUGGUACUUUACAAGCACCAUAGCUAGACUAUAUAUAUAUAUAUAUAUAUAUAUAUAUAUAUAUAGUUGAGCUAGAAUACUCUUGACAGUAAACGAGCCGUUUUACUAUCGAGCUGUUUUCGAUGAUAGAGCUUCCAAAUUAACGAUCGGCUCCGUUGAACAUGAUUUAUACCACUUGAAGUGUUUAGAAAUCAAAUUUCAAAUCUUUUCGACAUCAUUUGCCUAAUGAUCAAAGGGUUUCAAAAUUUGUAAUUUUAAUGGUGGAUAAGAGACGUUUUCUCGUUUAACGGUGUAAGAUAUCCAAAUCAAUUAAAUUUUUGUUAGAAAAUUUUUUAAACUAUUUAAAACAAGAUCUAUACUCUUGAUCUUGAUUACAAGACUCCUAUCAUCAUUUUUUAAAGAAUAUUCAUUUUCAGCCUUUCAUUUUUCUGUUCACUAGAUGGAUAAAAAAUAAUAUCGAAAGUGCGUGAAAUUUUAUUUCUAAGUAGUUUAAAUGGUUUAGAUCAUAUUUAACGGAGCCGAUCGUCAAUUUGGAAGCUCUAUCAUCGAAAACAACUCGAUAGUAAAACGGCUAGUUUACUAUCGAGAGUAUUCUAGCACAACUCUAUAUAUAUAUAUAUAUAU
rnacentral:lncRNA from 1 species